rnacentral:lncRNA from 1 species
AAUGCAAUUAAACAAGUACCUAGAUAUGUCAAGUUUUUAAAGGAGCUGUGCACUAACAAGAAAAGCUAAAUUGUAAUGAAAGGGUAAGUGUGAGAGAAAAUAUUUUAGCUAUAAUUCAGAGGAAACUACCCUCAAAUGCAAGGACCAAGCUCACUAAUGCAGGUGGUGAUGCACAUCAGUCCUAGAGUCUCUCUAUAGUAUUUUGAAGGCAGCGAUCUGCAUGAAUAGGUGCAUGAUCAUGUAGAUGGUCAUGAAAUGGAAAGAAAAUUUUUUAUUUUUCUUAAAUUGCUUAGGAUGCCUUG